ensembl:lncRNA
GGAAAUUUGAAAAACUACAGCUGCUUUGGGGCGGCUACUUGAGGGUGGCUACUUGAAUUUUUGUUUUGUUUUGUUUUUUUUCCCCUGAUAGCUAAUAUGGAAGGUGAGUGCCAUGUGUGUAUUUACUGGCCUCUACACAAGCACUCAGGAUCGCAGUGAAACAGGAAAUAAUUCUUUAAUGUAUUUGCCUGAUGCAAGCUGGGCACUGUGGUGAGAGAAUAGUGAAGGACGAAACACACAAAAGGAUGUAAAAUCAUGAAUUCUGCCAAACUGAUUAGCUUGAGGGAUGCAAUACUACACAUGAAAAUACGCAACAAAUAAUGUAUUAAAGGCCAGCUUUAGGCCGGAAUGCACCUUUAAAUAAUUUUCGGGAGGUUGCUAAACCUCCCUUGCCUCCUCUGACGGACUGCCACUCUGUUUGGGGAAAAACGUAACAAAAAGUUUGAAGUCCAGCCGUACUCGAAUCUCACCGCUGAUGGAACACAGGACUGAACUGAUAUAAGGCUGAGAGAGUGAAAGAGAGAGCGAGACACAGCUGUCUAACCCAAGCUGUGUCAAAGACCACAAGUUAGAUUAUUUUAAGCUGGGGGCUUCUUUGAAAUCCCACCACUCGGAGUGUGUGUGAAUCUCCUCCAGCUUGGCCAGCCUUACCACUCUGUCAGCCUCCAGGCCCCUUUGAACCUCCAUUAAUGCCUUUUUCCUAGAGUUAAUCACUCACACAUGUGACUGCUUAUAUGAGCUUCCAGUUCAUUAUCAAGUAUCUCAUCUCAUCCAAGGUCAGAGGACGUCUUCAGAAUGGAACAAAUCAUUUGUUGCUUAAUGCUUUAUUUUCAAAGCUAGAAUGUAAAACGCCCAGUUAACAAAAAGGCACCAGCAAGCAUACAAUCUAUUAGAUACAUUCCUAAAAAGAUGGUUGUUCAGGGGUUCCUUAGUAAAUGAAAUGGUGCUAUUCAGAACCAUGAGGUUUAUACAGAACCAUUUUAUGCUCAAAUGAUUCUUUGCUUGGUAAAAUGGUUCUUAAGAUUGUUGGAGAAUGUGUUGUUAAUAACUAUAUAGAACCGUGUUGAAAAC